AAGGCACUGGGUUGGUCAGCUG
rnacentral:miRNA from 1 species